rnacentral:SRP_RNA from 1 species
GCCAGGCGUGGUGGCAUGUGCCUAUAGUCCCAGCUACUCGGAAGGCUGAGGUGGGAGGACUGCUUGAACCCAGGAGUUCUGGGCUGUAGUGCACUAUGUCGACUGGGUGUCCACACUAAGUUCGGCAUCAAUAUGGUGACCUCCCAGAAGCGGGAGACCACCAGGUUGCCUAAGGAGGGGUGAACUGGCCCAGGUUGGAAAUGGAGCAGGUCAAAACUCCCAUGCUCAUCAGUAGUGGGAUCAUGCCUGUGAAUAGCCACUGCACUCCAGCCUGGGCAACAUAGCAAGACUCCAUCUCU